CCUCCUUAUACGAUUUAGAACUUAUUUGUUCGUAGUGUCCACACAGAUGAUUGUUAGUUAGUUUUACCCUUUGGGUUUAACUGAUUAAUAUGCUCUUUAAAAAUUUGGAAAAGCUGAUAAUAAAAUUCCGAUAGAUACUUUGUAUUUAUCAAGAGUUUUCAAAAGUAAAAAAGAAUGAUAGCAGUAUCAUUCAGUGCCAAUUUAAUCAUUCGUGAUUAAUUGGUAUCUACUUUAGUAUUCAAUAUUAACUUCUGGCGAAGUUAAACUGUCACUAACAAAGACCCGUUUGGGUUGUAUGGUUAAGUGACUAAGCGUACACGGUGGAUGCCU
rnacentral:misc_RNA from 1 species